UUGACAUCCAGCGAACUUCCAGAGAUGGAUUGGUGCCUCGGAGCGCUGAGACAGGUGCUGCAUGGCUGUCGUCAGCUCGUGUUGUGAAAUGUUGGGUUAAGUCCGCAACGAGCGCAACCCUUAUCCUUUGUUGCCAGCGAUUCGGUCGGGAACUCAAAGGAGACUGCCGGUGAUAAACCGGAGGAAGGUGGGGAUGACGUCAAGUCAUCAUGGCCCUUACGAGUAGGGCUACACACGUGCUACAAUGGCGCAUACAAAGAGAAGCGACCUCGCGAGAGCAAGCGGACCUCAUAAAGUGCGUCGUAGUCCGGAUCGGAGUCUGCAACUCGACUCCGUGAAGUCGGAAUCGCUAGUAAUCGUGGAUCAGAAUGCCACGGUGAAUACGUUCCCGGGCCUUGUACACACCGCCCGUCACACCAUGGGAGUGGGUUGCAAAAGAAGUAGGUAGCUUAACCCUCGGGAGGGCGCUUACCACUUUGUGAUUCAUGACUGGGGUGAAGUCGUAACAAGGUAAGCGUACGUGU
rnacentral:rRNA from 1 species